GAUGAACGCUAGCGGCAGGCUUAACACAUGCAAGUCGAGGGGCAACGAGAGUAGCAAUACUUGUCGGCGACCGGCGCAAGGGUGCGUAACACGUGAGCAACAUACCCAAAUCAGGAGGAUAACCGGAGGAAACUCUGCCUAAUACUCCAUAAUAUCAUCUUAUGGCAUCAUGAAAUGAUAAAAGAUUUAUCGGAUUCGGAUUGGCUCGCGGGACAUUAGCUCGUUGGUGAGGUAACGGCUCACCAAGGCCACGAUGUCUAGGGGUUCUGAGAGGAAGGUCCCCCACACUGGAACUGAGACACGGUCCAGACUCCUACGGGAGGCAGCAGUGAGGAAUAUUGGACAAUGGUCGGAAGACUGAUCCAGCCAUGCCGCGUGAAGGUUACUGUCCUAUGGAUAUUAAACUUCUUUUAGUAUGAGAGCAAUAAGGUGCACGCGUGCACCGAUGAGACGUAUCAUACGAAUAAGACU
rnacentral:rRNA from 1 species